UGCUGCCAUUGAGGUGGAGUGACAAGGCCAGGAUCUCCGUCAGAGUACAGAGAUUUCUUGGUCUCUUGCAGGGGCGGAACUGUGGGAGGCAGUGGAGUCGGCUGCCGCCGGGCUCCUGACCACAAGGGGGCGCAUCUCCUCCACUGUCUCCCGCAGCCUGAGAACUGCGCUGCUAUUGUGGACGGAGGAGCAGUCACUGACACGGAAGCUGCCUCCUGUAGGGAGAGAUGGCACUGGCUGCAGCUAGGGGGAGCUCCAGAGCACAGCUCCUCUUCUAGCCAGCCGAGGGAAGCUCUCUGCUCCGUCAGCCUGAUGAUGAAAGCCAAAGACAGAUGAAUCCCACCCUGCCCGUUUUUGUGCGCCCUACCAACCCGCCGUUUUCUGCCUGCCGUACCCCGCCACGCCGCCAGACCCAGCCGUGCGCCGCCGGACCCGAAAAUGAAAUCACCGACCCAGGAAUAUACCAGGGUUGGAGACCCAGAGAUUUCAACACGGUUGACCCUCUCACACAGACGAAAUACCUGUUUUGAUCCGCAUAUUACCAGGUAGAAAUUCUUGUCCCGGUAAUUUGCUUCUCUGUGUGAAAGGGGAAGGGGGUCAGACGGAGACUGGCAAAAUGACCAUACACUGAAAUGCUGGUUAAUUGCUGGGAUUUCUGUCUGAAAAGGGUAUCAUAAAGGACUUACAGGUUAAAUGUGUUUUCGUUUUUUUAUUUACCAUAAAAAACAAUAAAUCUUGUGUUUAAUAGAGAUAACUAUUCAGUAAAGUUCAAUAUACAACAGAUUUUGGCUGCUUAAAUGCAUUGAUGACAGAAACGUGAAUCAGAUCCAAAGAAGGUUACUCUCAAGGGAAGAUUUAGUAAGAGAAGUUUAACAUUUUCAGUAGAAAACUGAAUUUUUCAACAACAAAAACAUUUUUUCAAAAAAGCUACAGAAGAGCACAUUCAACAAAUUUACA